GAUGAACGCUGGCGGCGUGCCUAAUACAUGCAAGUCGAGCGAAGCGGGGACGGGGGAGUAACACGUGGAUAACCUCCUAUAAGGCUGGGAUAAAUUCGGGAAACCGGAGCUAAACCGGCUUAUUAUCGCUGGCUCCGCGCUGCAUUAGCUAGUUUGUAAGGUAACGGCUUACCAAGGCAACGAUGCAUAGCCGACCUGAGAGGGGGACAGGCCACAAUGGAACUGAGACACGGUCCAGACUCCUACGGGAGGCAGCAGUAGGGAAUCUUCCGCAAUGGGCGAAAGCCGGACGGAGCAACGCCGCGUGAGUGAUGAAGGUCUUCGGAUCGUAAAACUCUUUUAUUAGGGAAGCGGUACCUAAUCAGAAAGCCACGGCUAACUACGUGCCAGCAGCCGCGGUAAUAC
rnacentral:rRNA from 1 species